GAGGGUAUAGCUCAGUAGCGUGUAUACUUAGCAUGCAUGAGGUCCUGGGUUCAAUCCCCAGUACCUCUG
rnacentral:tRNA from 1 species